rnacentral:pre_miRNA from 1 species
GACAGUAAAGCUACAUCCAAUAGUCCUGGAUUCUGGUCAAUAAGUGCAAAAGCUGUUGGGUUUGGCUGGGCAGCU